rnacentral:rRNA from 1 species
AUUGAACGCUGGCGGCAUGCCUAACACAUGCAAGUCGAGCGAGCGGCGGACGGGUGAGUAAUAUCUGGGAAACUGCCUGAUGGAGGGGGAUAACUACUGGAAACGGUAGCUAAUACCGCAUACCAUCAGAUGUGCCCAGAUGGUAUUAGCUUGUAGGUGGGGUAAUGGCUGACCUAGGCAACGAUCCCUAGCUGGUCUGAGAGGAUGACCAGCCACACUGGAACUGAGACACGGUCCAGACUCCGACGGGAGGCAGCAGUGGGGAAUAUUGCACAAUGGGCGCAAGCCUGAUGCAGCAAUGCCGCGUGUGUGAAGAAGGUAUUCGGGUCGUAAAGCACUGUCAGAGGGGAGGCGUUACCUGAAGAAGAAGCAACGGCUAACUCCGUGCCAGCAGCCGCGGUAAUAC